AAGAGUUAACCGGUAGAUACAGAGUUUACCCUUUAAGGCCCGUUUAUAAACGGGCAUAGCUCUAAUAUAAACGUGCUACCCGUUUAUUUUAUUUUUUCUUUUACAAUACAUUAAACGACGCCGUUUUACUAGAUUUUCUACAUCCCUAAUUUUUUCUCAAGCCGUCGGGUUCUCUUCUCUCUUCUUCAAACUCCUUGUAGAUGAAAUCUGGAAAAGCUUUAUGACUCAAACUUGAGAAAUCGAGACAAGGGUCCCAUCGUUGAUUCGAGUCCUUGACUUAUGUGAUCAGCGAUUUUAAUUAUUAAAUCUUGAAUACGAUGAUAGACCGAUCUGGGUUUAAGCUGAGAUUUUUGAUAAUGUUACUGACGUGAUGCAAACAUUUUGACAGCAGCUGGGUUUGAGUUUGAUGUUCUUGUCUAUUCAAAUCAAAGCUCCAUGUAGAUGGAGUAGGGAUCGUUGGUUUGAGACUAAGAGAGGAGGAUGAAGUUGUUUUAUGUCUUGUUUCUAAACGGUUUGCAGUUUUUUUUUUAAAUUUCAGACACAAGCUUUAUGUGAUUUCAGAUUCUCAGUGGUUUGUUGUAUUUCACUUUCUAAGUUUCAGAUUUAUGUACUUUCAGAUUUUAAAUAUGUAUUAGAUACACUGCAGAUUUUAAAUCAGGUUUAUUACA